rnacentral:lncRNA from 1 species
CUCCAGCGCUGUCACUCUUUCAGGAAGUUUCUUAUUGGAAGUAUUUCCAAGCCCUAAUCGACCAUAAUCACCAUUUCCAAAUGUAAAAAGUUUGCCAUCUGCUGUCACCACAGCUGAGUGUUUGAAGCCACAUGACAUCUGCACCACUUCUUCUCCUUGCAGAGCCUCUAUUUGUCUAGGCCUGCGCUGUCUGUCGCUGUUCCCGUGUCCUAGUUUGCCAUAAUCUCCAUCUCCCCAGCUGAAGACUUCCCCACUUUCAGUCAAAGCCAUGGAAUGUCCAUCAGAUCCACAAGAGGUCACCAGCUGUGUUACAACAAAGCCUUGCAGUGCUGAAAUGACUGUUAACACAUGAAGAUCAUCCGAAUUUCCUUGUCCCAGCCGUCCAUAGCUCCCUUCUCC